GAUACAUGGAAGGCCUCACACGCCUCGCCGUCCUUUACCUCUGCCCCAUCGUACGACAGCGCCAUGGAUGUGGCCGGACCCCCACCUCGUCGUCCUGCAUCUAUGGCUACAUGCCCUCCCCCAUAGCAUUCUUGUCAUGUGCAGCCCGUGCCUACCAAUUCGAAUCUGAAUCUCACUGCUUUCCUUCUUUUUCCUCAAGCGUUUUCACUCUUCAAGGAAUCUUCUUCGCCGGUUCACUCCAUUGAAGAUCUGAUUGGAGAUUUCAUGAUAGAUGGAGGCUGAAAUCGUUUUGUUGACUUGCUCCAGGAUGGAGUCAAGCUCUUCUCGGUCACUUCCGCACGGCAGCCGGCAGGUGGCACUGCGAGCAGGGGCGGGCUGCGGUCGAGUAGGGAGUCAAGCGGAGGUAGUCAAGAGGCGGCGGCGCUAGGAUAUGUCGCAGGAUCCGCCGCCAUUAACGGAUGUUGGCUAUCGGUAUGGAUCAGUUGUCCCCCGACGAGGGGCGCCUCCGUGCCCGCCGUCGCAGCCAUGUCCGCAUAGACCACGACCGCCGGAUCCUUUUUAUACUUCUUUUUCUUCUGCACCUCGCAUUUAAAUUGCACAGGAUGCUGACAGAUAUUCCAAUGCGGUCUGUGUUGCAUUAUCUGGAAGCUCGUGUUAAGAUUCUGCUCCUUCUUUUAAGCAAGAAUUUGUGUAGGGUUUAAAAAAAUUGCUCCGCUCGCCGAUGCAUGUUUUUGUUCGUUUGGGUGCUGAAUUUGUUUUUUGUUUUUACCUAAAGUUUGUCAGGAAAAUAGGCUGUCGUAUCUUCCAUGAUUGUACAUCUCGAAGAUCUUCAUUUUUGCUGGCGUUCUUGGAUGAAGGGGUUUGAGCAGAGAAUGCUAGUGCAGAUGGAUUAUUUUUUAUGGGAGCCAACCAACAUAUCAUUGCAUCUUUGGCUUCCAACUCACAACUGGUUCAGCUGCUGAUACUGCAAGGUUCUCCGUACUACCUUGUUAAGGAAAGUGCAGUCCUGCCUGAAGUUCAGAGAGGUUGUCAGAGGAAGAGAAUUGCUCAAAUAGCUGGACAAUGAUAACUUGCCAUUGAAGAACUGAGUUUGCUCUACCAAAGAAUGCUGCUGAUCUGUUUAAUAGAUAAUCCUGGCAAGCAUCAUCAAGACAACACUACAAAUCUAGAACAACACCUGGUCGAUAGAAGCUUUUGCUACUGUUGGAUUAGCAAUUGGUAGAUCCUUUAGAUGGUGAUUAGGUCUUUUUUCUUGUUCUGGUUGAUAUAAUUUUUUGAAUUCUUCUGAAUAAAUGAUUUCGUUGUAAAUUUGGAUUGGCAAUUGGUUGAUCUGGGGCUGCUGUGCCGUAGGCCCAUCUCA